UCAUCAGCUCUGGUGACUUAAGUCUACUAUUUAGCCACAGAACAAAUACAUCACAGGCAACAAUAGUGCAACUCGCUCUUUAGCUGCUCCAUCCGUGUGAAUCUGCUUUGUGUUCUGAAGGGUCCCUUAAGGGAUAAGUGUGUGCUUGUAUCCUGUUUUGUAUACGUUCUGACACCACG
rnacentral:sRNA from 1 species